rnacentral:tRNA from 1 species
GGGCCCGUGGCGUAAUGGAUAACGCGCUCGGCUUCGGACCGAGAGAUUGGGGGUUCGAUAGGCCGACGCGCACUUCGUGUGCGUUUGUGCAGCCAACUGAAUAAAUCCCCUCGGGCUCACCA